rnacentral:rRNA from 1 species
GGAUAACUUACCCUUAGGACUGGGAUAACUCUGGGAAACUGGGGAUAAUACUGGAUAUUUGGCUAUGCCUGGAAUGGUUUGCCUUUGAAAUGUUUUUCUUUUUCGCCUAAGGAUAGAUCUGCGGCUGAUUAGGUCGUUGGUGGGGUAAUGGCCCACCAAGCCGAUGAUCGGUACGGGUUGUGAGAGCAAGAGCCCGGAGAUGGAACCUGAGACAAGGUUCCAGACCCUACGGGGUGCAGCAGGCGCGAAACCUCCGCAAUGUACGAAAGUGCGACGGGGGGAUCCCAAGUGUUAUGCUUUUUUUGUAUAACUUUUCAUUAGUGUAAAAAGCUUUUAGAAUAAGAGCUGGGCAAGACCGGUGCCAGCCGCCGCGGUAACACCGGCAGCUCGAGUGGUAGCUGUUUUUAUUGGGCCUAAAGCGUUCGUAGCCGGUUUGAUAAGUCUUUGGUGAAAGCUUGUAGCUUAACUAUAAGAAUUGCUGGAGAUACUAUUAGACUUGAAGUCGGGAGAGGUUAGAGGUACUACCGGGGUAGGGGUGAAAUCCUAUAAUCCUGGGAGGACCACCUGUGGCGAAGGCGUCUAACUGGAACGAUCUUGACGGUGAGUAACGAAAGCCAGGGGCGCGAACCGGAUUAGAUACCCGGGUAGUCCUGGCCGUAAACGAUGUAGACUUGGUGUUGGAAUGGCUUUGGGUUGUUCCGGUGCCGAAGGGAAGCUGUUAAGUCUACCGCCUGGGAAGUACGGUCGCAAGACUGAAACUUAA